rnacentral:rRNA from 1 species
UACGGAGGGUGCGAGCGUUGUCCGGAAUCACUGGGCGUAAAGGGCGCGUAGGUGGCGACGCAAGUCAACGGUGAAAGCUCGACGCUCAACGUCGAGUCGGCCGUCGAUACUGCAUCGCUGGAGCACUGUAGAGGCAGAUGGAAUUCCGGGUGUAGCGGUGGAAUGCGUAGAGAUCCGGAAGAACACCCGGUGGCGAAGGGCGGGUUUCUCUGGGCCUUACCCUGACGCUGAGGAGCGAAAGCGUGGGGAGCGAACAGG